rnacentral:rRNA from 1 species
ACCACCUGAUCCCUUCCCGAACUCAGAAGUGAAACCUCUUAGCGCUGAUGGUAGUGUGGCACUUGCCAUGUGAGAGUAAGUCAUCGCCAGCUU